ACGGUGAGGCUGAAUUCCCUGUAAUUUAUUCAUCAUCCACACAGGAACUUAAGUCUCAGAAAAAUAUAUCUAUGUACCUCAACCUUAAACUUUCAUGUAUUAUAUAUAGAGAUGUGAUUUUUGUUGAGCCUUCUACUUUUGUCUAAAAAGCAAGACAUAACUAUCCUACAUUCCGUUGGCGUCGGCGGCGUCUACAAAAUCAGAAAAUUUCGAAAUCACUGAACUAUUUUAAAAG
rnacentral:lncRNA from 1 species